rnacentral:rRNA from 1 species
AGCGAACGCUGGCGGCAGGCUUAACACAUGCAAGUCGAACGGGCAUCUUCGGAUGUCAGUGGCAGACGGGUGAGUAACACGUGGGAACGUACCCUUCGGUUCGGAAUAACUCAGGGAAACUUGAGCUAAUACCGGAUACGCCCUUUUGGGGAAAGGUUUACUGCCGAAGGAUCGGCCCGCGUCUGAUUAGCUUGUUGGUUGGGUAACGGCCUACCAAGGCGACGAUCAGUAGCUGGUCUGAGAGGAUGAUCAGCCACACUGGGACUGAGACACGGCCCAGACUCCUACGGGAAGCAGCAGUGGGGAAUAUUGGAAAAUGGGCGCAAGCAUGAUCCAGCCAUGCCGCGUGAGUGAUGAAGGCCUUAGGGUUGUAAAGCUCUUUUGUCCGGGACGAUAAUGACGGUACCGGAAGAAUAAGCCCCGGCUAACUUCGUG